UUAGAGAGAAGCCAAUAAAAACAAACGACACCAGCAGCGUCUCUGUCGGAUUCUAUACCGUCGAACGAAGAGCGGAACAAAAUCUCUCCACAGCUUCUCAAACUGAACAUCCAGAGGAAACCUUGGAAGGGAGAAUUCAUUCAUCGUGAAGCUCGACGUACCGAGGAAGCCGGACGAGGGCGGGUUCUUCUGGAUGGGCUCGGCCAUGUUGUCCUGGAUCCUCUGCCACAGUUGCCACUCGAACAGAGGAUGCAGGAUGUAGAACGGCUGCAGAGGAUGGAGACGCCGGUACCUCUGGUACUGGACGAAGAUGGGGUAGUCUGUCCUGUUGUACCACUGCAGGAGGAAGAGGAGGAGAAGACUUGAUAAAAAAAAAGAGGUCAACAUCACCUGAGUGAGGUCAGCGGAGAAGGGGGCGGGGUCCCAGGCCACCAGAGCUCCUGAGCUGUACAGAGAGCUGGACAGGAAGCGAUGGUCGUCAGACGCCAUCACCUGCAGACAGGAAGACGAUCAGACAUUUGGUAAAACGAAGACUUCCGACGCGUCUCACCGAUCUCUUUGCCGAGUCCGGAGUAGCGGAGUGACCCCGCCGACGAAACCACGGCGCAGCUCCUGUAUGGCCCGAGGUCCGAGGUCAGGGGCUUCGACGG